rnacentral:rRNA from 1 species
CGGAGGGUGCAAGCGUUGCUCGGAAUUAUUGGGCGUAAAGCGCGUGUAGGCGGCUUUAUAAGUUUGGUGUGAAAUCCCGGGGCUUAACUCCGGAACUGCACUGAAUACUGUAAAGCUAGAGGGCGAGAGAGGAUGGUGGAAUUCCUGGUGUAGGGGUGAAAUCCGUAGAUAUCAGGAGGAACAUCAGUGGCGAAGGCGGCCAUCUGGCUCGCACCUGACGCUGAGACGCGAAAGCGUGGGUAGCAAACAGGAUUAGAUACCCUGGUAGUCCACGCCCUAAACGAUGAUUACUAGACGUCACGAAGCCUAAUCUUUGUGGUGUCGCAGCUAACGCAUUAAGUAAUCCGCCUGGGAAGUACGGUCGCAAGAUUA